UAUACCGCAAUGCUCUCUGGGAAAUGUAGUCUUAGAUGCUUUGUAGGGCCAGUUUGUCACCCUGGUGAAAUUUUAUCGCUGUAAUUAAGUCGGGGCGGAAGAACCAGCUGUAUUCUCAGUAUUGGGGCGAAGGGUAGAGAUCCAGCCAGAAGUACCAAGUGUCUGGAUGGUGAGGAUGAAGGUGACUGGCAGAAGGUAGAGGAAGAUACGUUGACAUACCUCUGUUCUUUGAUGAGCCUUUGAUUCAGAAAAACUGAGUCAAGACAAAAAUUAAGUAAAUAGCAAAGUUUACCUGAUAUCUCCAGAAUUUGAAAACUAUUCAAUCCUACUGGACCCAAUCUAUUCUCCAUUACUAAUGCCCUGCUGCUAAAACUAUACAGAUAUCUUCCCUCUAGGCCCAGGGACUAUAGCGGAAGAGGUGGGCGUGCGAGAUUGUACGGGCCGAUUUCGAGGGAUGAAAUUAGUUUAAACCUUCCAAAUCAAGGACAGGCACACAGAUGCCUAAACAGCUGGCAAUUUGGGUGACUUUGCCUCUUAGGCUAUUAUGUGGCUCCCUUUUCAUCCACCCCAACCAUAAGCAAUCCCCUGCUUCCCAUAGACUUAAAGGAGAAUUCCUGAGAGGAUAUCAAGAUACCUGGUGGCAAAAUCUGUUCUCAGUUUAUGCAAAUAAAAAUAUAAUAAGGAAUUUAUUAGCUAGUUUAGGACAAAUUACUAAGACAAAAAAUAUUGCAGUGCAACAAAAUUCUCUAAAUUCCUUAGCUUGAAUGGUUUUAACAAAAUACUUAUGUUUUGUAUAGCAAAUUGCUACAAGUCUGCAACUAAAACCAAGACUACAGUAGCUCAACACUCAUAGACAAGCUAAUUUUGUAAUCUUGCUUUUGGCAUUUGGUUUUUGCUCUUAUAUUGCUUAAAAGGCACCAACUAAAGGACUCCUUAUGAUCCUGCUGGAAAAGACCUUACCAGGUAAUUUUAAGUAACUCCUGUGGUGCAAAAUUAAAGGGAGUCACUUCUUUGAUUCACAUCUCACCUAAAACAAGCACCCAACCAUUUUACUGAUCAUACCUGGAUCUCCAAGCUGACACCUGCCUGCGAUUUCAGAAAACAUAACCAUGGCUCAGCUGGUCUCCAGAGCAACAACCAAAGUAGACAUUCUUCCAGAGACAUGGGACCAGGCCAGUGCUCCUGAACACUGCAGUAACUCUCAUUCUUACUUUACUUGCUAUAGGAUAUAUUGCUGAAAACCCUGAAUGCCUUAACCAAGACCCCGGAGAGGUAGUUUGGGAUCUAUGGAAUCUCCCUUGGUAUAAUUUCCUAAAUGGGUAUGGUUACUAAUUUCUUGUUAAUAUUAGAAAAAUGUUUUACCUGUUCAUGCUCAAUCCCAUACUCUCCUCUAUUUAUCUACCCCACACUCCUCUCUUCAAACCUGAAAACUUCUCCUGAUUCCCUGAAAACCUCACCGAUUUCCCUGCUGACACAGCCCACAUCCUUUGGUAUGAUCUUAGAUUGGGAUGAAAUGAAGACCACUGAAUAGAAUAGUUUCACUCUCAACAUUCCCCGAGGUGCCCCCUUUUCAGGAUACCUCAAUUAUAAGACUCUCACCAAAUACAAUGCCCUGCAGGAAUAUUUACCUAACAGCAUCUUGGGAAGAUUAUUGAGGGGAUCUAAUCAGAUAAACUAUGGUAUAACAAUAGAUAUUUGUGAUGAUAAGUUAGGAAAUUCCCUGGAUAUGUUGGAGAAAACCUAGCUGCCUCUUGUGUAAACUGUCACAGCAUAACCUGCCCAAAUGACCACCCAGCCCUGUGCUUGUGGCUGGAUGCCUUUAUCUGGCACCGACCACACUGCCACUGCCCUUAAAGAACUAUUUAUGGGAGUCAGUUGGUGGACAGAAGUACCUGACAGUACAGAUUCCAGCCUAAGGCAAGGGCACCUCCGGAAAGCCUUAUGGAAUACCCAGACAAGGGCAUACUUAGGCAUAACCUCUGCUCACCUGACAAUGGUUUGAGACACCCAGCUGUUCUGGGUUGACUUCAUUUAUCCAAAUUGCACCGAUGCCAUUAACAUACAAUGGCAAUAGCAUUCCCAGUGGAUACACGAAAAUUGGCCAUCCAAAAGACUAAAAUGUGACCUCAUUGAAAGAACUGGAACUGAGCUAGGCAUACUGGGAUAAGCCGAAUUCACAGCUGAUGAAGAGAGGCAUUCCUUACAGAAAAAUUCCCUCUCAAAAAGAGCCCACAUAGAAGGAAUGUUAUUCCAAGAAGAGGGAAAGGGAUGGGAAGCAUUCAUCAAAUGGAUAGAAGAGAUAAGACAAGCCAUAAAAACAUACUCCCAAACCAAAGGUGGGAAUGAGUAUAUACUCUACCCCAACAAGGGUUCAAGUCCAUGUUCUUACAAAUGGCAUUUGAGGUAACCAGAAAGCAAUGGCCUAUAAUACUCAGUGCUGAGGUUCAAUCUAAACACCUAUAGAAAACUUAUGGUCCCUCAAAUUUAUGGAAAUUUUUAGAUGGUAAAUGUGACCUCAGACAUUUUUUUUUUUUUUUUUUUUUUUUUUUUU